AUUCUUCAUAGACAUAAACAGAGAGAAGUAUUCCGGCUACAAUGUUCUUCCGCAAGACGCAAGCAGCUCUGUUUAUUAACCGCUAGAGCGUCAAAAGUUACCUACCGCAGCUUUAAGAGGCACAUUUUCUUUCAUUGGAAGGAUGAAAUACAGUAGGUGAGGAAUGAUCUACUGAUGGUGCCCCUUGUACACUGGACCUGAUGUCUGAUCUGAUCUAGAUUGUAUAGACGCAACAGUAUUGCGGUGUCAUGUUUGUGUCAGGCAGUGGAUAUUACAGAAGAACAUUCCUGCCAGCAUGCAUCUUUUUAGUAUGUUAUUAACUCUCUGGUUCAGAAGAAUGACCUCCGGUUCUUUAGGGCUCUAUGUUCUUCCUCCAAACAUUCCUUUGAGCAUUUGAAGGAUUUUACAGAUAAGAGAAAAAUAUUUUUGAUAUUUUUCAAUCUAAAGAGAUAACGUUUUUGAGAUUGCAAUAUCCCUAACAAAAAGCAACAAAAUGGCCAUGUUAACUGUAGUAAACGGACUCCGAUUAAUGUCUCUACUGCCUAUAAGAAAUAUUUCGGUGUCCUUGCACAUCGCUUAUGGUUUACACACUGUAAUCUAUUUAUUGCCAAUAAGAGUAGCACAUGAUGUCCUAAUAACUAAUCUGCAAUUGGCAGCCAUGUAUUUUGUAUGUCGCCUUCUGAUUGGUUCAAUUUGAGUGAGGAAAUGUAUGUAAAAAUCUAUUUUUGUUCAUUUGAUCAUUCAGCAAAUGUUUUUUCAUUAUGAUAUACUUAAUAUAUUGUUAAUUGUUCACGUUCUAUGCCUGAUCUGUUCAGCACAAUGAUUACACUCAUAUUCAAUUUAAAAUAUGCAGCGUUUCAAUUUUCCUGAGAGACUAUGACUAACAGUUUUAUUCCAGUCAGUAAAGCAAGAAAUGUAAAUGUGUCAGUCAGUAGAAACAUGAACCAAUAAUAUAUGUAAUUUAGGCAAUAUUAUACCUCAUUGAAUUAUGCAGUCUCUGUGUCUGUCAAUGUGCUUAAUGUAGCAGUAACAUCCAGCACAUGCUGUUUCAUAAAGAACUGCUCAUCAGUGCAAAUGUAAUAUUGUACCAGUAUGAGAAUUAUUAACAACAUGCUGCUCUGGUUUAAGAGAUGCAUAUGGUGGUACUAGACUUUAUCUGGAUCUGCGAACCAUCAAGACCACCAGAGACCUUCAUCGUGGUUUAGUUAGGAGUUGGCAGACAGUCUUCCGUUCUUAAGCACUGAUCAGAAGUAAAGUAAACUGUGCUGUUCCUGGUGCAUAACUUUACCACAUGCAAUUGAUGUAAUGACGUGGAUAUUUGUUAUAUUUAAUAAUGCACGAUUCAGGAAUAAAUGUUUAUAAAGUAAAGAGCACUGUGAUAUGUUCAGUCAAUUAUAACUGAACAUUGACUGAACAUUAUGUUUGGUGCCAGAGUGUUGAUGGGUUCUGAUUGGAUAAAAAAUGGCAAUUGCUCUAAUAUAAUUGAUUAAGAUAGAGAGAAUAACGUCACUGAAUUAUAUAAUGGAACGACAAGACAUAAACCAUUGCUGCUGCUUGAAUCAACAUGUCCACCCAUUGAUUAAUAAACAAAAAGUGUCUGAUUAGACUCUC